AGCGGAGAGGGAAACGUGGAGCGAAGCUCUGCCCCGAGAGAGAAGAGGAAAUGGGGGGGACGGUCUAUGCGCCGGGGACCCCUGCCGAGCCUGCCUAAUUAGUAUAAAGCAGCCAGCUCCACUGCAGCUGCCCCAGAGCCCUCGGAUAGGGGACUAAGGAAGUAUGACCAGGAUGCUGCUGGGAACGGCUUCUUUCUGUUCCUGUGGCAGUCGUUGCUCCGGAGGAAUGGAGACUCAAGACCAACUUCUUUGGGAUUUUCCAAAUACAUGCUACUCUGUACAUAUGCUGUGCCAGUGGCUCAUGAGCAAAUCCUAUGAUGGAAGAAAGAAAUUCAGGAAUCAAUACUGCAGAUGGAAUUUCCACUAUAUUUGCUAAUUUGAAAGUAGAAUGAAACUACUGAAUAGAAAGUAGAAUGAAAAGUAGAAUUUCCAAGGAUCAUUUGGAGGUACAAGCAAGGAGCAGUAGUCACUGCAGAGUCCAUUUAGGAACGUGAGAAUAAUUUAAUGCAACUACAAAGUACAUAGCCAGUGUACUUUGUGAAAAACUAAACAGGAACUAAAAUAACUGUAGAGUAAUUUCCAUUUUAAACAAAUAAAGAUAUGGAAGCCAGAUACUA